UAGUGACACUGAAUGCCCACCCUGGUGCUCUUCGUCCUGACUACUGGAGAUCCAGCAGAUGAUGGGGUUGAGGUUUUUGGGACGUAGAUAAUGUUGAAGGAAUAUACCAAUUCAUCCUCAGUCAUC